rnacentral:rRNA from 1 species
UACGUAGGGUGCGAGCGUUAAUCGGAAUUACUGGGCGUAAAGCGUGCGCAGGCGGUUCGUUAAGUUCGUUGUGAAAGCCCCGGGCUCAACCUGGGAACUGCAAUGGAAACUGGCGGGCUUGAAUGCGGCAGAGGGGGGUGGAAUUCCGCGUGUAGCAGUGAAAUGCGUAGAGAUGCGGAGGAACACCGAUGGCGAAGGCAACCCCUGGGCCGACAUUGACGCUCAGGCACGAAAGCGUGGGGAGCAAACAGG